UCUGCAGCGCGGCCUCGUGGCUCAGCCCCGGGGCCCCCGGCGCCUCGGAUCUGCCUCCUUCGUGGGGACCUCGCCCUGCUCCCCCCCGGGACACAGGAACACGAACUUGAAAGUGGUAAAGGCAAAACAACGUAGGAAGAGAGCUGAAACUCGAGAUGGCUGAGGAGACCGUUCGCAAACACCUAUCUAUUUCAAAUAAGUUCAUGUUUCUGGGCGCAGACUACAUCCCACAGCUGUUUAUAGGUAACCUAAGACCUACUGCAUUGCCGUGCUUACCUGCUUUGGCCACUAGAGGGAGCUUGUAUGCCUGAGAGACAAAAAUGCUGAUUCAGCUUACCUCGGAAACUAGAGAACCGAAGCUACCAGGACAUUGAGAAGAGGAAGCCACUCAAACUAAGUUUUAAGUGGUCCCGGUUCUUAAGUUUAUCCCGAAAAGAAUCAGAAGCGAGAUGAUGAUUCUUCGUGAGAGUCUCUUGAAUAAAUUGGAUGAAGUUUGUUUAGCAAGACCUGUGGAACCAAAUCGUCUUUCUACCUAGAAAUGACGGUCACGGCCUGAGACUCCAAAUUUAUAGAAAUGACAGGUGGUGCUCUUACACUCAAUUCUUGUACCUAUCGAGGAGAAAAGUGAACUUAUAUACUAUUAACUUAAAUAUGAAUAUUUCUAAUAUCCACAACCUCAUCAAAAUCAUAAGUGGAACUGAACAGGCAAUAUAUCUGAGGGUCUGCCUGUCUUGACAACUACAGUAUGAAUAAGCAGAUCAAUGGAUCUCCAGGACUUCCCCACUUGUGAAAGUAUGUUAAAUCAAGCUGUAUUGAUUACCUAUACCUGCAUUUCAGUAGCUUAAGUAGCAAAGAAACACUGUAACAAACUGAUUUGUUUAUAUAUAUAUAUAUGUACAUAUCAUGAAUCAAAUCUGAACGAGUUGAUUUUUAUUUUAAAUAUUGUAGCUCUCAGGUUGCUUUUCUGUUGGAUUAAAUGUCAAGUACAUCCUUAAUUUACUAAGUCAGUGUUCAAGUCCCUAACUGAAGUAAUCUCUUUGAUAAUGUGUCCUUAAGGCAGGGCAAUACUUUGACUUAAUUAAAAAGAGAAUGUUAGCUGAUGAGCGGGUCUUUUCAGAGAAUGUCUCCUGGCAGAUAUAUUGAAUCAAAGAAAUAAUACUCAGUUCAGUGAAACCUUACAGUUAAAGAAAAUAUUUGCAAUCUUAAAAUGAAUAUACCAUUUGUGUCAUUAGGCAACGUGAGCUGGUCACUUUUACCCUGAUGGGAGAAAAUAGGUUUUCUGAUACCAGCACAGUCCCUGAUCUUAUCCUGAACUACGAUCUUAGGGAAUUUUCCUAAGUGAUAUUUGCUUCAGUUCAUUUUUAUCGUAGUGAAACUGAGUCCCCCUAAAACCGAGUUCCCCUGCCAAGUUUAUGAUUAACUUCUCUAUCCAAAACUGUAUUCCUUUUCUUGUCCCACCCCUGGUCCCCCUAGGAUUGAGGAAUAUCAGAGAAAAGGGGGGAUUAAAACUGAUCAGGACCCUGCAGGGCCCUCCUGGGUACAAAAGGUCCUCCAUGUCCCCUGUUUCUUGUUUGGAGAAAGAGGCUUAAUCUUCUAGGCCUUCCCUGAGUUCCACAGAGCAGACCCAAGCAGUUACUACUUAGGGAAGUGAGGGAAUGCAGAAACAAAGGAGAAGCAGCCAGGCAAGAAAAGGAGUGAUGGUUUAAACAACAGCUCAGUGACGAAGCAGAGCCCCGCCUCUCCCUCGGGGCUCUACAUAACCAUCUGACCCUUAUCUUUGAGCUGUUCUGCAGAAAUUAGUCCCCUACCCAGGCGGAGGGCGGUGGCUGCAUUGCUGACCACAAGCACAUGGACCCCAGCCUGGCUGGGCCCAGAAGGCUGACGAGUAAGAUCCCAGAAGCAUCACCCUGGUACCUCACCGCCCGCCAAUCAGAAGAAAGUCAUGCACCCUGCAGCCCUCGCUGAAAACAUGGCCUUUACAAACCCUUCUGUGAAAGCCACCAGGGAGUUGGGGUCUUUUGAGCAUGACCUGCCUGUUCUCCUUUCUGGGUGCCCCGCCGUAAAUGCUGGACUUUCCUUCACCACCGCCCAGUGUCAGUAGACUGGUUUUGCUGUGCCAUGGGCAAGCAGACCCCAGUUCAUCUUGGUAAUGACAGAGGGGUAAUUUUUUUCUCUUUCGGCCGUGUGGUGCAGCAUGUGGGAUCUUAGUUCCCUGACCAGGGAUCGAACCCGGGCCCCAUGCAGUAGAAGGGUGGAGUCUUAACCACUGCACUACCAGGGAAGUCCUGAGGGGUAAUUUGUUAAAUGUAAUAUGUCUAAAGGUAAUUCUAACACACAAGGUUUUAAAAUUUUUUGUUUCUCUUUAUUUUGGUAAUACUCUAGGAGAAAGUCCUGGUUUCUCUGUUCUUCUCUUGACCUGCCAACACCCAGCUUUAUAUAGACUUUAGGCAAAUUAUUUAACCUCAGGUUCUCUCACGUAUAAAAUGUGAAGUUUUAUCUGCAACGUUUGAUCCAGAUCUAAUAUUCUGUGAUUACUUGCUUUAUUUAAAGAUCAUGUUUUGUUUACCAAAAAUUUGAAGAUUUUAUUUAUAGUAAACGGAUCUUUUAUUCCUAUGCAUCGAGUUCUAAAACCUCCAAAGUUGGAAUCAUACUGUCAGGAAAACACUGAAACAACAAUAGUAAAAGACUUUUGAAAUGGAUGAAGAGUAUUGGGUGACCUGUCUAGCACAGCCUUCUGGGUUAUCCCUACCUUUCAUUGUCCUUGAGCUAUUUUUUUUUAAUUUAAUUUUUAUUUUUUAUGGAGUAUAGUUGAUUUACAAUGUUGUGUUAGUUUCAGGUGUACAGCAAAGUGAAUCAGUUAUACACAUACAUAUAUCCAUUCUUUUUCAGACUCUUUUCCCAUAUAGGUUAUUUCCUUGAGCUAUUUUGUAACUCCACAAGAUGUAAAAUACUGAUAGUAAUUCAAAUGAGUCUUGUCCAUGUGCAAAUUGUGUCUACUGAAAUGUAAUUGAUCUUUGUCUUUGGAUAUUAACCUGUUUUACAUUUAUCUGUAAGUUCAUUUCAGCAUUCCUAAUUGACUUCAUGUGUGUAGUUCUCUGAACUGUUCCUUGAAUCAGUUAUAACACCUUACUGGUUUCCUCGUUUAUUAAUAAGUUGUCAUUAAAUAAAAUAAAUGGACAUG